AUCAUGUCCCCACAUGGGUGCUUGUCCAUCUGGGGCCUGUUUGCUAACACUGACUCUUUAUUGAGGCCCCUGGGAAAGUGAGGGACACAUUUAUCACCUGGUGAUUCUAGUCAUGGGGACUGAUUCCCAUCUGUCAGAGUCCAGAGGGAAAGGCCCCUGCUGAGGACAGAUGUCCAGAGUGGUGGUAGGUCCAGUCCCCACACAUGUACUUUCCCCGUGUUUCUGGAUUCUAACAUGAGUGUUUAGUCACAGUUCUGGAACCUUCCCUGUGCUUCAGAGUAUGGGGCUCCUUUAGUGUCACGGGACCCAGCCUUUCCCCUGACUUCUCACAGAACGUUUUCUUCCCACAGGCAGAGGUAGAGAGAGCUAUGCUACGGUUCCCUACAGCAACAGUGCCCAGGGCUGUGAUGUGUCUCUCACAGCUCAUGAUGGGUGACAGAUCUGCUUUCCACAGGACUUCGUGCUAAAAUAGUUACUACAGCCUCCCCUUGAGACUUUAAGCUUCACUGUCUACUGUUUCUGCACCCAGCAUCAGAGCCUUAUUUAAUCAUCUCAAUGUCCCUGAAUUAUUUUAAUAUUAAUGAUAUAUAUGUAAAUAGAUCAAAAGAGAUGUAGAUUCAAAGUUCCAAGGUGUAUUGUUUCCAGUGGGUCUUAUUCUAUCUAUACCUUCAUUCUGUUUAUUAA